rnacentral:rRNA from 1 species
UACGGAGGGGGCUAGCGUUGUUCGGAAUUACUGGGCGUAAAGCGCACGUAGGCGGCUUUGUAAGUUAGAGGUGAAAGCCCGGAGCUCAACUCCGGAAUUGCCUUUAAGACUGCAUCGCUAGAAUUGUGGAGAGGUGAGUGGAAUUCCGAGUGUAGAGGUGAAAUUCGUAGAUAUUGGGAAGAACACCGAUGGCGAAGGCAGCCAUCUGGACCGACACUGACGCUGAGGCGCGAAAGCGUGGGGAGCAAACAGG